rnacentral:rRNA from 1 species
GACGAACGCUGGCGGCGUGCUUAACACAUGCAAGUCGAACGAAGUGGCGAACGGGUGAGUAACGCGUAAUCAACCUGCCCUUCAGAGGGGGACAACAGUUGGAAACGAAUGCUAAUACCGCAUACUGAAGGAGGGGAUUGCGUCUUAUUAGCUAGUUGGAGGGGUACCGGCCAACCAAGGCGAUGAACAGUAGCCGGUCUGAGAGGAGGAACGGCCACCUUGUGACUGAGACACGGCCCAGACUCCUACGGGAGGCAGCAGUGGGGAAUCUUCCGCAAUGGACGAAAGUCUGACGGAGCAACGCCGCGUGAGUGAUGACGGCCUUCGUGUUGUAAAGCUCUGUUAAUCGGGACGCGGUACCGGAAUAGAAAGCCACGGCUAACUACGUGCCAGCAGCCGCGGUAAUAC